AUCCAGUUGACGAGUCCCAAUUUGGACGAAACGUAGUCCUGGAU
rnacentral:hammerhead_ribozyme from 1 species